rnacentral:lncRNA from 11 species
UAUUGAACACCUCAAAAGUAAGCCCUGUCCACCUUAAAAUGAUGUCAUUAUUAUUAUUUGUAAUAGGUGAAUAGAGACGAGAUUCAUGUCAAAGCACAUGCAUCAACAUAGAAGAAGAAUGAAGCAUGGCGAGAGAAUAAGAAUAAGAGCUGACUCCAGGAAACAAGGAAGUGAUUACAUGGCAUAAACAUAUGGAAGGGAGGAGGAGAAAGAGGAGUUGGGCAACACAGAGGAGCAAACAGAAGAUGCUGAGUUUCUACAUGACUUCUGCAGCCUUCAGUUGGCUAGAUUUAACUCAGGUGAGCAGCCAGGGAUCAGCUUAAGGUCUCCUCUAAUUUCAUAAAGUCAAACUAUGGAUGCCUUGCUUCAGCCCCUACGACAUAGUCCAGCUCCAAAGCAUCCCUUUAUUUGUAUUGUUUGAAGGCUGUGGCCAAGAUCCUCCAUCAUUGUAUUAUUGUACUGUGAAUCAUUACCUGUAAAGCUAUGUUCCACUUCCAUUAUAAAACCCCAUUCAGUAAAUCAGCGUAAUUCUGAG